AACGAGCGCAACCCUUAUCCUUUGUUGCCAGCGGUCCGGCCGGGGAACUCAAAGGAGACUGCCAGUGAUAAACUGGAGGAAGGUGGGGAUGACGUCAAGUCAUCAUGGCCCUUACGACCAGGGCUACACACGUGCUACAAUGGCGCAUACAAAGAGAAGCGACCUCGCGAGAGCAAGCGGACCUCAUAAAGUGCGUCGUAGUCCGGAUUGGAGUCUGCAACUCGACUCCAUGAAGUCGGAAUCGCUAGUAAUCGUGGAUCAGAAUGCCACGGUGAAUACGUUCCCGGGCCUU
rnacentral:rRNA from 1 species